rnacentral:rRNA from 1 species
UACGUAGGGUGCGAGCGUUGUCCGGAAUUAUUGGGCGUAAAGAGCUCGUAGGCGGUGUGUCACGUCGGCCGUGAAAACUUGCAGCUUAACUGUGGGCGUGCGGUCGAUACGGGCAUCACUGGAGUUCGGCAGGGGAGACUGGAAUUCCUGGUGUAGCGGUGAAAUGCGCAGAUAUCAGGAGGAACACCGGUGGCGAAGGCGGGUCUCUGGGCCGAUACUGACGCUGAGGCGCGAAAGCGUGGGGAGCAAACAGG